rnacentral:rRNA from 1 species
GAUGAACGCUAGCGGCGUGCUUAACACAUGCAAGUCGAGCGGAAAGGCCCUGCGUUUGUGGGGUGCUCGAGUGGCGAACGGGUGAGGAACACGUGAGUAACCUGCCCUUGACUUUGGGAGAACUUCAGGGGACUGAUGCUCAUACCUGAUAUUAGCUCCUGCUGCAUGGUGAUGGUUAGAGAGGUUCGGCGGGUGGGGAUGGGCUCGCGGGUUAUCGUCUGGCUGGUGGGGUAGUGGCUUACCAAGGCUUGGACGGGUAGCCGGCCUGAGAGGGUGACCGGCACAAGUGCGACUGAGCUACGGCACAGAGUAGUAAGGGAGGCAGCAGUGGGGACUAUUGAAUGAUGGGGGGAAGCCUGAUGCAGCAACGCCGCGUGCGGGAUGACGGCCUUCGGGUAGAAAACAGCUUUCGCCUGUGACGAAGCGUGAGUGACGGUAAUGGAUAAAGAAGCACCGGCUAACUACGUG